rnacentral:rRNA from 1 species
GACGAACGCUGGCGGCGCGCCUAAUACAUGCAAGUCGAGCGCAGGAAACUGACGGAACUCUUCGGAGGGAAGGCAGUGGAAUGAGCGGCGGACGGGUGAGUAACACGUAAGGAACCUGCCUCAAGGAUUGGGAUAACUCCGAGAAAUCGGAGCUAAUACCGGAUAGUUCAACGGACCGCAUGGUCCGCUGAUGAAAGGCGCUCCGGCGUCACCUUGAGCUGGCCUUGCGGUGCAUUAGCUAGUUGGUGGGGUAACGGCCCACCAAGGCGACGAUGCAUAGCCGACCUGAGAGGGUGAUCGGCCACACUGGGACUGAGACACGGCCCAGACUCCUACGGGAGGCAGCAGUAGGGAAUCUUCCACAAUGGACGAGAGUCUGAUGGAGCAACGCCGCGUGAGUGAUGAAGGUUUUCGGAUCGUAAAACUCUGUUGUAAGGGAAGAACACGUACGAAAGGAAAUGCUCGUACCUUGACGGUACCUUACGAGAAAGCCACGGCUAACUACGUGCCAGCCGCCGCCGUAACAC